rnacentral:rRNA from 1 species
UACGGAGGGCGCAAGCGUUGUUCGGAAUCACUGGGCGUAAAGCGCGUGUAGGCGGCUCGGCAAGUCGGGUGUGAAAUCCCGAGGCUCAACCUCGGAACUGCACUCGAAACUGCCGGGCUCGAGUCCCGGAGAGGGUGGCGGAAGUCCCGGUGUAGGGGUGAAAUCCGUAGAUAUCGGGAGGAACACCAGUGGCGUAGGCGGCCACCUGGACGGUGACUGACGCUGAGACGCGAAAGCGUGGGGAGCAAACAGG